CAGGGCGAAGUGAUGCAAUCCUUGAAGCAUGGCUGGGAAUGCUGCGUACAUGAUGCAAUCUCGUGUAACUGUCAGUCAUGGAUUGAGUAAUCUGUUAAAGAUGUUCCUACGUUUGUUUUUUUUUUAUUAUAAAGAAUAAUCUAUUUCUAUAAGAAAAUACAUAUGUAUAUUUUGGGAUCUAUGCAUUCUUGCUACGUUUGAAGCAUUAAUGAACAAUUUUAAUAAACUUUAUGACUAGGUUAAAAAAAGUAGCUUGUUUUAUUUGGAAGGCACGUUUGAAGCUAGCUUAAAGGCAGAGCUGAAACUCUAGCUGCAUCUGGCUCGGUGCUGUGAUCAGGGAGCAGGAUUUCUGUUGGUCUUUUCACUUUCUCUGUGACUCAGAGAAAAACAAAAACAAAAACCCCAAGAGAAAGCCAGCAAAGAGCAGGGCUGGAAGCUUCAGCCAGUUCUUGUUGCCUCAUUUUAUUUCCUCUAAUCACUUGCUUUAGCUGCCGCUUGGGUAUUGUGUGGGGAGGAGGUGGUUGUUUGGCGUUUUCGGAUUUUGCACUUCUUGCUGUUCCCAACGUGUAGAGCGAGGUGUGCUGUCCAAACCGGGGCCGGUCCUUGGCAAAGUAACUCCGACUCUGAAGUGGGAGGGAGGAAGAAAAAGUAAGGGAGGAAGCUUUAAUUAAUUUAUUUAUUUUUUCCUUAAGGAGUUUCUGUUCUCUAAGCUAUGAUUCAGCCUUUCUUAUGUUUGUAGUUUACAGGAACAAACAUCAGAAAGUAGCAUGUCUGUUGGAUGCUGGUAACUCGGUCACUGCUCAGGAAGCUCUCCUGCAGCCGGCCAGACUAAUUGCAGAGGUGUUGUCCGAGGUGCUGAGUCCUCCUCGGGUCAUUGUGGAGCCACAGCUGGAGGUGCUCCAUGGCACUGAAAAUAACAUCCCUGGCUUAAUCAUCAACAAAGGCUUAGCACCAAGAUUUUGCAGCUGGCAUCCAAUGAGCUCUGAGAUAGCACUUCGAGUCCUAAGCAACCAGUAAUACCUGUUUUUCUACAAAAUUAAUAAAUGCAAGUGUUAACUGUUCUAAAUUCACUUAAGAAACAAUUCACCCGGAAAGAUUUGUGGUUUUCAUUAAAACAGAGAACAUAAAUAGAAGAGGAAAUGGAAGGCCUGAUGCUUGGCGUCCAUUAAACCCCACAAUUUGGCCAAGCUUUUGCAGGGCUCUCUGAGUAUGCAAUAAGGCAGUCAGCACACUGUCCUUGUAGCCUUUCAAUCAUUAUAAAACACAUUUAAGUACUUUCUAAGUGUGCAGCACGUUAGUGAUUCAUGAAGCAACUGCAGCCUACCAGCUGGAUCCCACACUGAACAAGGCAGAGCAGAGCAGAUAAGCAGUGCUGGGCUGCAAGGUAGGCAUGAAGAGCAAAGGAAGCAACUCUGUUCUCAGCUAAGGCAUUGACUUCAGUGUAACAAACCAUGUUUUGCACUGAGUCUUGGUAUUAUUGCUGUUGUCUUAUCCCAAAUACAAUAGCUGUCUGUCCUGUUCUAGGUAGAUCAGACCCCAAGCAGGACUGUUGUCUGACUGCUCGCUGCUGAACAAUCCAUUGCUCCUUCUGAGGUCCUGGCUGUAGGAGACAAAGGUGGAUUCCCCUGGAAAUUUGCCCAGAUCUAAAUGUGAGUACGGAAAAGUGUGUCACUGCCUGUACUUGGGUUUGUUUAAACCCUCCCUUGUGUGCAGCUGCAAAAUUUUUCACAUUGAAACUGAUGUGAGAUUAUUACAUUAAAAGGAUCUAUUAAAUGCCUUGGCAUCAUCUGGAUACUGAAUUAUGGACUGACAAGUCUCAGAGGCUGAAAAGCCUGGAAAAUCAUGCACUUGCCUCCAAAAAAAUAAAGGAAAUACAGGAAAGGACCAAUAAGGGGAAUGCAACUAUUAUGGUGUAUAAUAUCUAGCAAAAGUAACUCAGGGGGUAGAUUGCAUUCUGAACCUGGACCACGAGUAAGAUUUCUCCAGACCUCUCUGGUGGCCAAGACAGUGUCACCCUCUCCAUCCCUCACCAGUCUGUCGGGAAGCAGUUCCCUCAGGGAGGCCACCACCUGCUGCCCGCCGAGGCUGGCAGAGUCGAAGCGAUGACACCGCUUUGUGCUGCUGUGGGACUGCAGGAAGCAUCACCCAGCUGACCUCCAUAAAAACUAAUCGAGCGGCCCUGCUCUAAGCAGCGUGCGUCUUCCUGGAGCUGUGCAUUGGGAAGGACUCCCUGAGUCACCCUCCUCCUUUGCAUAUCCCUUUGCAUCUGAGCAUUAACAGUCAGAAGUCAUUGGAGCCAGCUAGAAAAGCCUCAUGUUUGUGCUCUCCCAUGCAAAUAUCUCUUCUCCCUAUAUAUUAGUUACUGUGUGUGGGUUUUCUCUCUCACUCUCUCUUGCCAUGUGUGUGGGAGUUGAUGGCAUCAGCUUUAUGAAAUCUCAACACAUGCCAAGAACAGCUGGAGAAGUUGAAACAAGUUCUGGGUGAGGUGAGUUUCAUGGGCUGGGCAGGGACUGAAAUUAGCAAAGGUGCUGUGGCUGCUUGCCAUCCGGGGAGCAUCACAUGGAGCAUGUGGGCUCUGCCUGCUCCACGAGCAGAUUCCCCGUGGAAAAAAGGAUUUGAUUUGAUUUAGAUAAUGAAGAUGGCAGAGAUAGUUGAAUUAGAAGAAUUUGUUCACCAGGACAGACCAUCUCUGCAGCUCUUCCGUGCCUGGUUCAUUAUGUAAAUAUAACAAUUUCAUCAUGAGUCUGAGGUAAUUAAUAUCUUUAGCCAGCAUGUAGCACUCUUCAUCUUCAGAAUGCUUUACUAACAUUAAUAAUUAAUCACCACAGCACUCUGGGAAGGUUAUCACCUCAAUCAAUGGGUAAACUGAGGCACGGGGUAUCACAGCCUGCCAGUGGCAGUACUCUUUACUUCUUGUGUCCCUGCCUGGUGUUCUGUGUGUUACAGAACGUGGCCAGGCUGUCUGAUAAGCUUUAUGAUAAGAAGGAACGAGCCAAAAGGGCACUCCAGAAUGGAUGAAAGAAAGCUCCCUGCACAGAGCAGAGCUUGUUCAUUGCUGGCUGCUCCCAUGAGGUCUCCAUGUCCCCAAAGCCAAGACCAAGUCCUCCCCUCAACACCUACAAGAUAUUUCUGUUCAUCUCUUUUCAUGUUCCCUUCAGCAGCCCAACAUUAUUCCUGGCAUAAUAGAUAAGGUCUGCUUAGCUAUGACUCAGGUAUUUACAUCUUCUUUUCUAGACAAUUUUUGAAUAUAAAGAGCCAAUGAAAUGUCUGAUGAAUUUCAGUGUUAUAAAUCAGUCCACUGAAUAACCAGCAUUUUCUUUUGAAGCACUUUACAGAUCCAUCUCAGAAGAAUUUGCAGGUUUUGCCUCAAUCUCUUAUAGAGGGACAUUUGAAUCUGCUUCAAAGUUUGGUCUUAAGCUGUUGAUUUUCUUUAAUCAAGUCUUGCUUAAGCUAGUAAACACAGCUUUUACCUUAUCAGUUUCUGCCAUUACUUCCAUCUGGACAUCUGCACCAGGUCAGACGUUAUUGCUUAGGUAUGUUAUUCCUUGACAAACCUGGGGAGAAUUGUGAAAGAAGUGACCUUCCCACCCAACUCAGAAAAUGGAACUUCAGUGCAUCUUACUAAGGACAGAAACACGCACAGCAACCCUGAAAGAAGAGUCUGCUUGUCUUGAAGCUUCGCAAGAAGGAUCUGUC
rnacentral:lncRNA from 1 species